AGUCCGGUCGCUGGUGCUCUUCUUACAUUCCUCGAGCUCCUUUGUGAAGCUCGCCUUCCUCCGGCUGUAAUCCAUGAUCGCCUUCACUUGGAGACUCCUAAAGUGGGCGGCCUCAGCGGCGGCCUCGGAAUAGCAUUUUCUCGACUUGCGGAGCUCGCCCUCCGACUUCUUCAACUUCUUCGUCAGGUGGAGGACCUCCUUUUUCAGUCGCUGGAUAGUUGACUUCAGCGGGACCCCCAGGGGCAAGGGGAGUGCUUCAGCAGGGCACUGCCAUCGGAAGGUGCAAACGUCAAAGACCGACUCAUUACAAGAAGAAAGGCAGAAAAGGAGGAGGAGGGGGAAGGAGAGGCCAUCCACAAUAAGAAAUUCGACUUUAUUGAUUAAUUUUGGAGACAAACAGAAAGAAAAUAUGGCGACAAAAUAAAGACACAAGAUCGGAGGUCUCAGACCUCAGGGGAA
rnacentral:lncRNA from 1 species